rnacentral:piRNA from 1 species
UGGAAGUCUUACUCAUGAGGGUUGAC